rnacentral:rRNA from 1 species
ACUUUCAGCAACGGAUCUCUUGGCUCUCGCAUCGAUGAAGAACGCAGCGAAUUGCGAUAAGUAAUGUGAAUUGCAGAUUUUCAGUGAAUCAUCGAAUCUUUGAACGCACCUUGCGCUCCUUGGUAUUCCGAGGAGCAUGCCUGUUUGAGUGUCUU